CCGUGUUCUUCAAGAGGGAGUUCAACCGCACCUGGCCAUUCCUUGUUGGUUUCGCCGUCACCGGAACCAUCAUCACCAAGUUCUCCCUUGGUCUCACCGAGGAAGAUGAGAAGAACUCCCCGUUUGCUCAGAAGCACAAGAGGUGAUCAACUGAUUCGAGAGGCCUAUAUGGUUGCAAUCCCUUGUUAUGAGAGGCUCGGUUGUCUUCCUUUUAUCUUUUCCUGAUGAACUAAAAAAUAACAGAAGACAUCGAUUUCUGAGUACACUCUAUUUGGAAUUAUGUUUUUUUAUCAUCAAUUAAUGAUUUUGCAUUGAAUAAAUGUUGAAAACAUCUUUAUAAU